AUUGAACGCUGGCGGCAGGCCUAACACAUGCAAGUCGAACGGUAACAGGAAACAGCUUGCUGUUUCGCUGACGAGUGGCGGACGGGUGAGUAAUGUCUGGGAAACUGCCUGAUGGAGGGGGAUAACUACUGGAAACGGUAGCUAAUACCGCAUAACGUCGCAAGACCAAAGAGGGGGACCUUCGGGCCUCUUGCCAUCGGAUGUGCCCAGAUGGGAUUAGCUAGUAGGUGGGGUAAAGGCUCACCUAGGCGACGAUCCCUAGCUGGUCUGAGAGGAUGACCAGCCACACUGGAACUGAGACACGGUCCAGACUCCUACGGGAGGCAGCAGUGGGGAAUAUUGCACAAUGGGCGCAAGCCUGAUGCAGCCAUGCCGCGUGUAUGAAGAAGGCCUUCGGGUUGUAAAGUACUUUCAGCGGGGAGGAAGGGAGUAAAGUUAAUACCUUUACUCAUUGACGUUACCCGCAGAAGAAGCACCGGCUAACUCCGUG
rnacentral:rRNA from 1 species